rnacentral:SRP_RNA from 1 species
GUCCGGAGCCUGUGCAAUGCCAGCCUACGAACCGCGUCAGGGCCGGAAGGCAGCAGCGCUAAGUGGAUCCUGACAUGUGCCGCAGGACCUUCCGGACCGC